AGUGAACGCUGGCGGCGUGCCUAAUACAUGCAAGUCGAACGGAGUGGCGCACGGGUGAGUAAUAUCUAGCUAAUCUGCCCCUUGCUGGAGGACAACAGUUAGAAAUGACUGCUAAUACUCCAUAGAAAGGGAUUAGACUAUAUCGUAUCCGCGGGUCGGUGGGGUCACUGCCUACCGAGGCUAUGACGCGUAACUGGUCUGAGAGGAUGAUCAGUCACAGUUGAACUGAGACACGGUCCAAACUCCGACGGGAGGCAGCAGUAGGGAAUAUUGCGCAAUGGGUGAAACCCUGACGAAGCAACGCAGCGUGGAGGAUGACACUUUUCGGAGCGUAAAUUCCUUUUGUCAGGGAAGCGGUACCUAACGAAUAAGCACCGGCUAACUCCGGGCCAGCCGCCGCGGUAAUAC
rnacentral:rRNA from 1 species